rnacentral:tRNA from 16 species
CUGUGACCUACUGGUCAGAGCACUCGUCUCGGAGAUGAAAUAUGCUAGUUCAAAUCCCUC